rnacentral:tRNA from 1 species
UCUCCUGUAGCUCAGUGGUAGAGCGUCCGACCGGUAUGCAGAAGGUCAUAGGUUCGACUCCUGUUGGGAGAA